AGCGAACGCUGGCGGCGUGCCUAACACAUGCAAGUCGAACGUGAACGGGAGCAAUCCUUAGUAAAGUGGCGCACGGGUGAGUAACGCGUAGGUAAUCUACCCCAAAAUCUGGAAUAACCUGCCGAAAGGCGGGCUAAUACUGGAUAGAGCGAUGAAUUCGUAAUUGGGUUUAUCGGGAAAGGGAGGAAGCAAUUCCCUUCGUUUUGGGAUGAGCCUGCGUCUCAUUAGCUAGUUGGUGAGGUAAUAGCUCACCAAGGCUAUGAUGGGUAGCUGGUCUGAGAGGAUGAUCAGCCACACUGGAACUGAAACACGGUCCAGACUCCUACGGGAGGCAGCAGUGGGGAAUCUUGCGCAAUGGACGAAAGUCUGACGCAGCCACGCCGCGUGAGUGAAGAAGGCCUUCGGGUUGUAAAGCUCUGUCGAGCGGGACGAAAAACUAUUAAGUGAAUAGCUUAGUAGUCUGGCGGUACUGCUAAAGGAAGCACCGGCUAACUCCGUGCCAGCCGCCGCCGUAAAAC
rnacentral:rRNA from 1 species